rnacentral:rRNA from 1 species
ACGAACGCUGGCGGCGUGCCUCAAACAUGCAAGUCGAGCGGGGUUCUGGAAGUGGGCGACCACGGAAGGGACCUAGCGGCGGACGGGUGAGUAACGCGCGGGUAAUCUGCCCAAGGGACCGGGAUAACACCUCGAAAGGGGUGCUAAUACCGGGUGACCCUGGUGCUCCGAGUGGGGGACCAGGGAUAGGUGGCCUCUUGACAAUGCUACUGCCCUUGGAUGAGCCCGCGUCCCAUUAGCUAGUUGGCGGGGUAAAGGCCCACCAAGGCGACGAUGGGUAGCCG